AUCUAGUAGCUGGUUCUCUCAGACUAACUGGCACCCUGAAGUUCAAUCUUUUCUGGAAAAGCGAAUGAUCAGAAGCAUUUGGGCCAAAACGACCGCUAACUUUUCUCAAAUGUUCAAUGGUCGAAAGUCCCCUUUGCCUCGGUGAAGCCGGGACGAUGAAGGAGAGUACCCAGUGGGCCUCUUUUAAUACGCAGAACUGGCGCGUUGGAAUGAAUCAAAUGCUGGGUUAUGGUGCCUGAUUGGAGAAGCUUGCGAGAUCCUAUGUAAGGUGUUUGUUACUCUCGAAAGUAAGAUAGUGGCCAUGGAAAUUGUAAUCCGCUAAGAGUGUUACAACUUACCUGAUGAAACAGUUAGCUCUAAAAAUGGAUGGCACUCCUGUUUGUGUGAGGAACUUCGGAUGGCAGUGAGUAGGAGAUGGUGAUGGAGAGUAUCGAAAGCACGGGAGCUAGCCUGCCUUAAGUCUCCGUCGAUGCAGAUCUUGGGGGUAGUAGCAAAUACUCAAAUGAGAACCUUGAGAAUGGAGAAGGGUUCCAUGUGAACAGAUGUUUAACGUGUGUUUGUCGAACCCUUAUGGAUAGUAGAUAUCCAUUUCUGAAACGAGACCUUAUCGAUUUCUGAAUUUGUAUCGAUGCCGAACAAAAGGGAAUCGGUUUAAAAGUCCCAGAAAUGUAGAUUGAGGCUCCGACCCUGAGUGCGGUAACGCAAACUGAGACCCCCCCCGGGGGGGGGAACCGGGGAACAGUGUUUCUCAUAAGAUGUUCGGUUAUCUUUGGAAGAGAGUCGAGCUGAGAUAGAGACGUGAGCUCGAAAGAACAACUCAUUUCACGAGAGUCUCUGCGACCCUUCUACCGGCCCUUACAAAUCUGAGAGUUAGAAUGUGAUUUUCAAGGCAAUCCGUAUUCAUAACCGCAGAAGAUCUCCAAGGUGAACAACCUCUAGUCGAUAAAAUGAUGUAGGUAAGGGAAGCCGGGAAAUUUGAUCCGUAACUUUGGAAUAAGGAUUGGCUCAGAGGGCCGAGCUGAGGUGGGAAGCACGAAGUUUCGCUUGUGCGUACUGUGAGUUUUACCUCGCGUGGAAUACCUCAGCAAGGUGGUGAACACGCAUCAAGUGUGUGGAACUGUACCGUUUCAGCGGGCGCUUGACAGCCGACACAGAACUGGCACUGAUGAAUGUAAUCCGAUAGUUUAAUUAAAGCAUCGCGUUCAGUAUUGACACUAUGUGAUUUCUUCCCAGUAUUCUAAAUGUUCUUAAGUGAAGAAUUUCAUCGGAGUUCGGGUAAACGG